UCGAGAAUUUUUCACAAUGGGCGCAAGCCUGAUGGAGCAACGCCGCGUGGGGGAUGAAUGGCUUCGGCCCGUAAACCCCUGUCAUUCGCGAUCAAACCUCAAUAUUUAAAAGAUGUUGGGCUGAUAGUAGCGGAAGAGGAAGGGACGGCUAACUCUGUG
rnacentral:rRNA from 1 species